CCUGACCUCAAGCAAUCCUCCUGCUUCAGCCUCCCAAAGUGCUGGGAUUACAGGUGUGAGCCACUGCAUCUGGCCAGAUGAUGACCUUGACCUCUGAUUGCUGCCACAUAACUGGAACUCAGAGACCUUCUUGCACAUCUGUGGAAAGGGGAGUUUGCUUUGAACUGCAUUUCCUCACCAGCGUCACCCAUUCCUUAAGAGUCAGGUUGAUAAACGAGUCAAUGCUGAGCCCAAACCAGGCAGGAUUAAUCAUUUCCUCCUCCACAUUGCUGCUGCUGCUGCUGCUGCAUCCUGUGUCUGAGUCAUUUCCUCAUCUUUAAUAGCUAACAUGAUGCCCAGUACAAAAUAGGACCUGGAACAUGGCAGACAGUCAGUAAGUGCUGGGUCACCUUCAGGCCACCCUGGACCAUCCAGCUCUAGCUAAGCCAUCAGCUGACUACAACUACAUGAAUGAACCCAGGAGAUAAGAGCAGAAGAAUCACCUAGCUGAGCCCAGCCAAACUGCAGCAUAUAGUAUCAUGAGCUAAUAAACAAUUCCUGCUUUAAGCCCUAAGCCCUAACAAUUUGAAGUCCUUGUUACACAGCAAAUACUGUUGCAAACAAUGACGUUUUAAGAAGAGCUGGGAUCGAGCUGGUAUUUAGGAGCAACUGAAACCAGGACUCUCUUGUUCUGUCUCAUGUCUUUCCUAUUUUCUGCACGUUAUCUUCCCUCUCUUUCAUAGCACAUUGAUUUUCUUCAUGGUGCAGAGAAAAAGGUUGAGUUUUAUAGCUUGCAUCUUCAAGAUAAUGGAGAAAAACUGAUUCUGUUUUCUGCAUCUCAGAUCUAAAAAUCCCUGGGAAAAGACUCAUUGGCCCAGCUUAGGUCAAGCCUCCCCUUGGACCAAUCAACUGGUAAUGGAGUAGGGAGGGCACUCCAUCACAACACACACGUUAGAUGACAUAUGAGCAAAACUAUCCCAGGCACUGUUUUAAGGCUUAACAUGUGUUAACUGACUUCAUCCUCAUAAUACAACAAUCCCAUCAGAGCUAUUAUUGUCUCUGUUUUGAAGUGAGGAAACUGAAAACAAGCCACAGAGAGGUGAAGUAACUUGCCCAAGACUACACAGCUAAAAAGAGGUGCAGCCAGGACUUACACCACAGCUAUCUGACUCCAGAAUCCACCCACUUAAUGACCACAGUGGUCUGCCUCUCAUAUUGAGUUCCUGGGGGGUUCCAAUAGAUUGAGGGGUGGGCAGGAUGGAGGCACUCCAAGGAAAUAUCUGGAAUGCUAACUCAGAGAAGGUAAGCCUCUGGGGGCCCUUGAUCUCACUGUCUUCAGGCCUCUAAAUGACUCUCACUAGGCAAUGGCAGUGGAAGGUUCUGGAUCACCUCAGAAAACAAAUCUAGGAUCAGUGGGUGGACACCACUGGAAAGUGGGUUUCAAUUCGAUGGUAGGAAUUUCUUCAGAGUCAGGGAUAUUAGUGCUCAAAGUCACACAACAAGCUGAACUGGGGUUUAAACUUAUGCCUGAAGGAGUGCUGAGGCUUUGCUGUUAACCACUGUGCCCCAUCUUCGUUUCCUUCUCAAAAUGAGGAAAAGAAUAUUGGUGGAGGUGAGGCAGGGAGACACAGGGCCUACAUCUACCCACAUUUCAUUAAAGGCCUGCUGUUUCCCAGCAGAUGGAGGCUGCUUAUGUGAUCAUCUCCAGUUACCCCGUGGGUUUGCCCCGCCCCCUUGGCUGGUGUGUAAAUUCCCUGUGGGGAGAGUCAUGUGCCCUCUUAAAUG
rnacentral:lncRNA from 1 species